GAUGAAGAACGCAGCGAAAUGCGAUAAGUAAUGUGAAUUGCAGAAUUCAGUGAAUCAUCGAAUCUUUGAACGCACCUUGCACCCUUUGGUAUUCCGAAGGGUAUGCUCGUUUGAGUGUCAUUGUACUCUCACACUUCUAAUUCCUUUCGGGAUUGGGAGCGGUGGACUUGGGUGUUGCUGCUUUAGUUGUGGCUCACCUCAAAUAAGUUAGUGCAACUCUUGGUUGGACAUAGUACGGCGUGAUAAGUGUCUUCGCCGGCGCCUCUGUAAGGAGGGUGGCCGAUCGGGAGCUCUGUGCUUCAAACCGUCUUCGGACAAUCAUUGACAACUUGACCUCAAAUCGAGUAGGACUACCCGCUGAACUUAAGCAUAUCAAUAAGCGGAGGA
rnacentral:misc_RNA from 1 species